AAACAACUAUAGUGGUGUGGGUUCAGGAAGAACAACCGAAAUACAGAGAACCACAACGAAAACAGGCUGUCAUGAAACUUAAAAAUGCUAGUUAACCCAACAAAUGUGGGCCAUUAUACUGGAGGACGAAGAUAGUAUCGCCAAUAACAGAAUACUUCCUCAACAAAGGGAAGCAGCAGAAUAUCAGACCAUCUCCCUGAUGUUUGACGAACAAUGAUAACUACUUUGUCAACACCACGACCAGCUGAUGACGGCUAUGGAAGAUGUUCUUUGUGGUCUUCAACAUCUCGAACAUACCUGAGAGGAUACUAGUGGAUGAUACUCUACCACCUGUUGAGCCAGCCCAUCCAACAGUCUGCCCAGGUCAGUGAUGCCUGGGUGGGUGUAGGCUACGGCUAUCUGGGAGAGAAGAGGCGCUGGCUUCUUAUGAGGGGUUCAUGGCAGUGUUCACAGCUAUCUUCACUCAGCCACCGGAGGGCAGAGGUGAUGAGUGCCUAUUCCAACUAUGGUGGGAUGCCAAGACUGCUGCUGAGUACACGCUCACCUUCCAGACAGUAGCAACAUUCAGCAGAUGGCAUGAGCCAGUGCUCUGUAUGCUUUUCAGAAGAGGACUGCAUUAGGAGGUCCAGAUGGAACUUGCAUGUCGGGAUGACAACCUCCUUGGCUGCACUCAUUGCGAUAGUUAAACAGACUGAUGGCUAACUUUGGGAGCGUCGGUACCACUGCUUCUGUCCUUCCCUCAGUGACCACUCUGUAUCAGAGCCUGAACCCUUGGAGGUAGGGGUCACACAACCUCCCCGCAGCAUAGUGACGGAAACUACUGGGGCUCUGUCCCUGUUGUCGUUAAGGGGAGCUUCAGCAGUGUCCGGUAUGUUUUUACUUGGGAUCCACGAGAGCAGAGGGACGGUCAUGUGAUCUUCCACCUCCUGGGGCAGAGUUCAAGCCCUUGAUGAUCUGUGCAUCUACUAGGAUCUGGGACCACUCACCGUGGAGUCCAUCAUGAGAACUCUCCCUUCAUUAGUGGAGGAUGACAAUCACGGACUGGGCACCCGACUGCUGGAUGACCUGCUUUCCCGUUCCAUGUCGGUUGAGUCCUGUGGUUGCCUUUUAGCCCAACAUCCUGGAGGUAUACAAGGACCUGUGGGAGUUGGUUCCCAAAACCUGCGCCACUAGUCUCCCUCAUCGUCCCUGGGACUGUGCCAUUGACUUGCUUGCGGACUCGGCGCAGAUGCAUCUAUACUGUCUGUGGCUAAGGCCAUGGAGGAUUACAUCCGUGAAGCGAUCCAACAAAAUUUCAUCCACACGUCCACCUCUCCUGCUAGUGUGUGGUGGCUCACCAAGUCCCGUUGCACUCCCGUUGGUGCCGGCAGCUAUCGAACAGCUCCGCGGGGCCGCGUUCUUAUCAAAUUGGAUCUCUGCGGAGUGCAUACAAUCUCAUCCGGGAGAUAGAUGAAUGGAAGACUGCUUUCAGCAUGAUGUCUGGUCACUCUGAUGCCUUUUGGCUUAGCCAAUGCGCCGUCAGUGUUCCAGGCAUUCGCCAACGAGGUGUUACGGGACGUGCUCGGAUGCCAGGUGGCUGUCUAUAUCUACAACAUACUCUUCUACUUGGCUACCUUGGAGGAUCACAUUGAGUAGUCCUGGAACAUCUCCUGGCCAACCAACUAUUUGUCAAGGCAGAGCAGUGACUAUUUCAUCAGGAAGCUGUCUCCUUUCUAGGCAACCAGAA